rnacentral:rRNA from 1 species
UGGGGAAUUUUACACAAUGGGCGAAAGCCUGAUGUAGCAACGCCGCGUGGAGGAUGACGGAUCUAGGUCUGUAAACUCCUUUUAUAAGGGAAGAAAUUUGACGGUACCUUAUGAAUAAGCACCGGCUAACUCCGUGCCAGCAGCCGCGGUAAUACGGGGGGUGCAAGCGUUACUCGGAAUCACUGGGCGUAAAGGGAGCGUAGGCGUUUUAUUAAGUCUUGAGUGAAAGCUCGCAGCUCAACUGCGGAACUGCUCAGGAAACUGAUAGAAUUGAGUAUGGAAGAGGUAGGUGGAAUUUCCGGUGUAGGGGGUAAAAUCCGUAGAUAUCGGAAGGAAUACCAGAAGCGAAGGCGACCUACUGGGACAUUACCGACGCUGAGGCUCGAAAGCGUGGGGAGCAAACAGGAUUAGAUACCCUGGUAGUCCACGCCCUAAACGAUGAACACUAGUCGUUACGGAGCUAGUCUCUGUAGUGACGCAGCUAACGCAUUAAGUGUUCCGCCUGGGGAGUACGGUCGCAAGAUUAAAAACUCAAAUGAAUUGACGGGGUCAUAGCUGUUUCCU